ensembl:lncRNA
CGUCCAACCAAAUAUCGCGAUAGUUCCAAGCACAUGGGACAAAACGCGAAGACAGGAAGCUUUAGUAUCAGGGUUCAGUGUACGUCUCAGUUCAAAGUUUCCAUUUUAAAGCCUCCCAAAUGCCAAUGUCUAUUCACACAUUUGCAUAUGGUUGUUGUGUUGUAAAUCACGACUCCGAGGGGAUUCGAACACAACCGUGUGUACCAGCAGUAAGCCCCACCAGGACCCCCCGACCCAGGCCGAGUCAUGCCCCGGAGAGGCGACCUGCGCCCCGGUCAGAACUGGCGGUUCCGGCUCCGUGAGUACCAGCCCAGACACGCGCACAGCCCCACCACAGCGAUCACAGUCCCGAGCAGCCACGCGAUGCCGUCUCCGGCGUCGUACGCCUCCGCCGGGGAGAAACUGGAGCAUGGGGUGGUCCGGGUUGGGCUGCCUGUCGGCCCCCACCACCAGCGUCGAGGCCUUUAAAAGCAUUGCGCUGAGCCCCAGUAGGAGACGAGGUUGCUGUGAAGUCACCCGGCGGAAAAUGACUCUUGAUUUGUGCCCUGUGUUGAUUUUCAAUCACACAAAAAGCAAUUUUUGUGCGCUUAUUCGGUCAACGUAUUACACAAUCCCCCGACGGAGAUCUGCGUAGGAAGGGUAAAAAAUGUCACAAGAAUAAACGGCUCAUAAUUUAUAAUCCUGUCAGCAUAAAGUGGAAUAAUAAAGUUGAAUCAAGUUUCACGUUUGGC